GCAUGGAAUACACCUCACUAAAUGUUGGCUGAACUGCAACAACUACUACUAGGUUACCUAAAAGUGUGCCCUGAGUUGCUUAAGAUGAUCUAUUUUCUUCCUACCUAUGAACUUCUGAUAUUGGACUUUGAGCAGCUUUGUGACCGAAAGCCAGCCGACAGUCAUCUCUCUCUUGCUCAGUGGAGGGGAUGUCCUCAAUUCUGAGGAUGUAGGAGACUGAGCCACAAGAUGAAAGGAGGCUGGGACCCUGAAUGACCAGCGUGGAGCAGAGCCAUUCCCAUCCCUGACCUACAGUGGACAGCUAUAUGAGAAGAUACUGCCGUUUGCAACUUUGCAGAUACCAGCACAGGAAGAAAAACAUGGGAGACUACUGAUAACCUAAUGUGAGGAAUGAAGCUCCAACUAGACAAAGGCAGAACCUUAAUAUGGAGUGGUCUGGCCCUGCCAAGAGUAUUCAUCAAAUUACUCAGUACACAGUAGGCACCAGGCACCAAGUUGUUUGCCAAAUUGGUCAAAGAGUGAAAGCUGAGGGAGAAGAUGGCAAGUGUGAUAAGAAGACUGAAGCUGUCCCUAGCUAGGGUGUAAGGCGCCACUCAAUGGAGUUUAGGCCGUUCUCCAUGGGCAGGGAGAUGUUGCAGCGCCCAAUCGUGGGGGUGAUGGUGCCUGCUAGGACGUGGGGCUCGCUGUGGAAGCUGACACCCAUCCCAUUGGCAUACAUCACCCGCAGGGUACCAUUAUUACAGAGCUGGUAGCUGUUCCGCACUUGAUCUGG